GAUGAAGAACGUAGCGAAAUGCGAUACGUAAUGUGAAUUGCAGAAUUCAGUGAAUCAUCGAAUCUUUGAACGCACAUUGCGCCCGCUGGUAUUCCGGCGGGCAUGCCUGUUCGAGCGUCAUUUCAACCCUCAAGCCCCCGGGUUUGGUGUUGGGGAUCGGCUCUGCCCUUCUGGGCGGUGCCGCCCCCGAAAUACAUUGGCGGUCUCGCUGCAGCCUCCAUUGCGUAGUAGCUAACACCUCGCAACUGGAACGCGGCGCGGCCAUGCCGUAAAACCCCAACUUCUGAAUGUUGACCUCGGAUCAGGCAGGAAUACCCGCUGAACUUAAGCAUAUCAAUAAGCGGAGGA
rnacentral:misc_RNA from 1 species